rnacentral:rRNA from 1 species
UACGAAGGGUGCAAACGUUGCUCGGAAUCAUUGGGCGUAAAGCGCACGUAGGCGGCCUGAUAAGUCGGAUGUGAAAUCCCACAGCUUAACUGUGGACGUGCAUUCGAAACUGCCAGGCUCGAGUAUGGAAGAGGGUCGCAGAAUUCCCGGUGUAGAGGUGAAAUUCGUAGAUAUCGGGAGGAAUACCAGUGGCGAAGGCGGCGACCUGGGCCAAUACUGACGCUGAGGUGCGAAAGCGUGGGGAGCAAACGGG